UGGCCAGACUCCUACGGGAGGCAGCAGUGGGGGAUAUUGCACAAUGGGGGGAACCCUGAUGCAGCGACGCCGCGUGGGUGAAGGAGUAUUUCGGUCUGUAAAGCCCUAUCGGCAGGGAAGAAGCAAGACGGUACCUGACUAAGAAGCCCCGGCUAACUACGUGCCAGCAGCCGCGGGAAUACGUAGGGGGCGAGCGUUAUCCGGAUUCACUGGGUGUAAAGGGAGCGUAGACGGCCAUGCAAGCCAGGGGUGAAAGCCCGGGGCCCAACCCCGGGACUGCUCUUGGAACUGCGCGGCUGGAGUGCAGGAGGGGCAGGCGGAAUUCCUGGUGUAGCGGUGAAAUGCGUAGAUAUUAGGAGGAACACCAGUGGCGAAGGCGGCUUACUGGACUGUAACUGACGUUGAGGCUCGAAAGCGUGGGGAGCAAACAGGAUUAGAUACCCCUGUA
rnacentral:rRNA from 1 species